rnacentral:rRNA from 1 species
GGGGAAUAUUGCACAAUGGGCGAAAGCCUGAUGCAGCAACGCCGCGUGAGCGAUGAAGGCCUUCGGGUCGUAAAGCUCUGUCCUCAAGGAAGAUAAUGACGGUACUUGAGGAGGAAGCCCCGGCUAACUACGUGCCAGCAGCCGCGGUAAUACGGAGGGUGCAAGCGUUAAUCGGAAUUACUGGGCGUAAAGCGCACGCAGGCGGUUUGUUAAGUCAGAGGUGAAAGGCUACGGCUCAACCGUAGUAAGCCUUUGAAACUGGGGAACUUGAGUGCAGGAGAGGAGAGUGGAAUUCCUAGUGUAGCGGUGAAAUGCGUAGAUAUUAGGAGGAACACCAGUUGCGAAGGCGGCUCUCUGGACUGUAACUGACACUGAGGCACGAAAGCGUGGGGAGC